UAGAGGAAGUAAAAGUCGUAACAAGGUCUCCGUUGGUGAACCAGCGGAGGGAUCAUUACCGAGUUUUCAACUCCCAAACCCUUUUGUGAACAUACCUAUCGUUGCUUCGGCGGACUCGCCCCAGCGUCCGGCCGGCCCCGCGCCGGCCGCGGCCUGGAUCCAGGCGGCCGCCGGAGACCCCCAAACUCUGUAUUCUCAGUAUCUUCUGAAUCCGCCGCAAGGCAAAACAAAUGAAUCAAAACUUUCAACAACGGAUCUCUUGGUUCUGGCAUCGAUGAAGAACGCAGCGAAAUGCGAUAAGUAAUGUGAAUUGCAGAAUUCAGUGAAUCAUCGAAUCUUUGAACGCACAUUGCGCCCGCCAGCAUUCUGGCGGGCAUGCCUGUUCGAGCGUCAUUUCAACCCUCGACUUCCCUUUGGGGAAAUCGGCGUUGGGGACCGGCCGUAUACCGCCGGCCCCGAAAUGAAGUGGCGGCCCGUCCGCGGCGACCUCUGCGUAGUAAUCCAACUCGCACCGGAACCCCGACGUGGCCACGCCGUAAAACCCCCGACUUCUGAACGUUGACCUCGGAUCAGGUAGGAAUACCCGCUGAACUUAAGCAUAU
rnacentral:rRNA from 1 species